UGAGGUCACUGUUGUUGGGUGCCAAAAAUUGAAAGACACCGAAUGGUUUUUUGAGUAUAACGGCGCAAGCUACCUUACCAGAACUUGCAGAGAUGGUGGAAAGAACGCUGUUUUCCAAGAGAAGUUUAUGUUUACUUUGCUUGGAAGGGCUUACGGAUCUUAAGGUUGCUAGCAAUACACUUUCCACCGAUGACUUCAUUGGGAAAUUCUUAAGGUUCCGUAUGUGUAAUGCUUAAAAAUUCCUGAUUUGUAUUUGGAAUUGAGUAUUUUGCAGUGUUUGUUUGUUUUUGCUAGGAUUCAAUUGCAGAAGGUUAUUUCUCAGGGAUAUGACAAUUGCACCUAAAAUUUGCAGACUAAAACUGGGAGUGAUUGAAGAUGUAGUUCUCCCAUGUUGUAGCUCCAUGUUCGACCCUUCUGCGGUCCUGUUUGCGUUCUCGGCAGUUGCCCAUGGCCCCAUGAUACUACACAUAUACGUUUGGUUUAGCUAAGUUAUAGAUUGCAUGUUUUUUAUUUAAAUAAUUUGCAGAAUUUUUUGUUGUGUAAGUUGCAUGUUCUGUUUCCUAGAAUAUGAGUGAUAAUUGAUUUUAGAGGAUUUACUUUGUACUUGUGCAUUUUAAAAUCAGGAAAAACAAUGCUUUGCUUUUGUCCACUCCUUCCAUAAGUUGAAUUCUCAACUCUACUGUUGAAAAUGUUUAUUGUUUUCAUUGUUCUCAAAAUUCAACUUACAUUAGUACAAUGGUUUUUGUUUAUAUGA